rnacentral:tRNA from 1 species
AGCUUAUGAACUUGAAAAAGUAUAUAUUUUGAAAAUAUAAGAAAAGAAUGAUCUCUUAUUAGCUU